GACGAACGCUGGCGGCGUGCUUAACACAUGCAAGUCGAACGGAAAGAGAUGAAAGAGCUUGCUCUUUUAUUAAUUUCAGUGGCAAACGGGUGAGUAACACGUAAACAACCUGCCUUAAGGAUGGGGAUAACAGACGGAAACGACUGCUAAUACCGAAUACGUUCUAAGCAUCGCAUGAUGCAUAGAAGAAAGGGUGGCCUCUACAAGAAAGCUAUCGCCUUAAGAGGGGUUUGCGACUGAUUAGGUAGUUGGUGAGGUAACGGCUCACCAAGCCGACGAUCAGUAGCCGGUCUGAGAGGAUGAACGGCCACACUGGAACUGAGACACGGUCCAGACUCCUACGGGAGGCAGCAGUGGGGAAUCUUCCGCAAUGGACGAAAGUCUGACGGAGCAACGCCGCGUGAACGAAGAAGGUCUUCGGAUUGUAAAGUUCUGUGAUUCGGGACGAAAGGGUUUGUGGUGAAUAAUCAUAGACAUUGACGGUACCGAAAAAGCAAGCCCGG
rnacentral:rRNA from 1 species